GUUUAAGGCAACACAGCCUGGUUCACGCCCGAUCUCGUUUGAUCUCGGGAAGCUAAGAUAGGUUGGGCCUGGUUAGUACUUGGAUGGGAGACCGCCUAGGAAUACCAGGUGCUGUAAGCC
rnacentral:rRNA from 1 species